UAGAGUCUCUGAACUCCCAAACCUUUGUGAACAUACCACUGUUGCUUCGGCGGGAUCGCCCCGGGCGCGCCUCUGGGCGUGUUCCGGAUCCAAGGCGCCCGCCGAGGGUAUCAAACUCUUGCUUUUAUAGCGGACUUCUGAGUAUCAAACAAAAUAAAUUA
rnacentral:misc_RNA from 1 species